CUGAAUUUAAGCAUAUAAGUAAGCGGAGGAAAUGAAACAAAAUUGGAUUUCUUGAGUAAUUGCGAAUGAAAAAGAAGUGCUCAGCUUGAAAAUUGGGGGCUAUGCCUUUGAAAUGUAAAUUCGGAAUGCAUUGCCAUAGAGGUGCAGAUGUAAGCCUUUUGGAAAAAAAGCAUCAAUGAGGGUGAGAAUCCCGUUUGUCAUUUGCAGUUCUCUAUGCACGGUGUGCACUUUUAGAAUCACGCUCCUCGGGACUGGAGUGCAAAGUGAGUGGUAAAUUUCAUGCAAACGUGAACAUGUUAUUGAGACCGAUAGCAAACAAGUACCAUGAGGGAAAUGUGAAAAGUACUUUGAAAAGAGAAUUAAAAGAGCCUGCACUUGCUGAAUGGAAAGCAGACAGGAUUUCAAAUGUUUGGAAAGAUUGCUACGUGUCAACAAAAACGCUGCAUCUCAUUAUGUAAAUGUGAUUUGUAUCGUUGUUUGUGAUGUGCGUGGAGUUUCUUUCCUGACAUGUCAGUUUUCUAUUUUCAUAAUGAAUACCUGCGUUUUUCUACGUAGCAUGCUCAUGGGUGUGUGAGUGUUUGACUGCAUAUCUUUGUGAAAAUUGGGAGGAAUGUGUCUGGUAGUUCUAAAUCUGUGUUUGUUUUCUCAAAGCCAUUGCUUGAGCAAUCCGUGAACCUUGGCACAAUAAUACUGUCUAACUGUUUCUGUUUGACCCGUCUUGAAACACGGACCAAGGAGUCUAACAGGUUUGCGAGCUUAUUGGUGUUCAAACUGUUUACGCAAUGAAAGUGGUAGCCCGGAUCUUUGCACGUGCAGCCAACCAAUUGAUUGA
rnacentral:rRNA from 1 species